AUUGAACGCUGGCGGCAUGCCUUACACAUGCAAGUCGAACGGUAACAGGUCUUCGGAUGCUGACGAGUGGCGAACGGGUGAGUAAUACAUCGGAACGUGCCCGAGAGUGGGGGAUAACGGAGCGAAAGCUUUGCUAAUACCGCAUACGAUCUACGGAUGAAAGCAGGGGACCGCAAGGCCUUGCGCUCAUGGAGCGGCCGAUGGCAGAUUAGGUAGUUGGUGGGAUAAAAGCUUACCAAGCCGACGAUCUGUAGCUGGUCUGAGAGGACGACCAGCCACACUGGGACUGAGACACGGCCCAGACUCCUACGGGAGGCAGCAGUGGGGAAUUUUGGACAAUGGGCGCAAGCCUGAUCCAGCCAUGCCGCGUGCAGGAUGAAGGCCUUCGGGUUGUAAACUGCUUUUGUACGGAACGAAAAGCCUCUUUCGAAUAAAGAGAGGUCAUGACGGUACCGUAAGAAUAAGCACCGGCUAACUACGUGCCAGCCGCCGCAGUAA
rnacentral:rRNA from 1 species